rnacentral:rRNA from 1 species
UGUUCCCGGGCUUGUACACACCGCCCGUCACACCACGAAAGUUGGCAAUACCCGAAGCCGGUGGCCUAACCCGUAAGGGAGGGAGCCGUCUAAGGUAGGGUUGAUGAUUGGGGUG